rnacentral:lncRNA from 1 species
ACGACUUUAAUUUGCUCGAUAAUUCUAUCAAAAUUUUAAUCGGCAAACUAAUCUUAUUUGUGCACCUCAACGCCAUGAUGGAAUGAGAAGUGAAAGACGGUGAAUCGUUGGUCGUAUUUAAUAAAAUUUUAAAAACAGAAUUAUUCACUUGUCUUUAGAAAACUUCGUAUUGUUAGGGUUGUAUGUGAGUUGUUGGGAUUUUUAUUUGAUUGUUAUGAUGGUACGACGAGUUGUUAAUUAGAAUUUUUGUUAAUUUGUUAGGAUUGUACGUGAGUUGUUAGAAUUUUUUAUGAUUGUGGAGAAUAUUAGAAAGAAACAGUGAAUCAUUUACCUUUUUUUUAAAAGAACACUUUUUAAGUUUUGUUAAGGGUGGCGAAUAGUUUACCACAGUGACGAAGCCAGAAUUCAAUCACAAGGGGGGCCAAAAUAUGUACAAAUAAAAAGUUUAGCAGAUAAAUAAAAUUUUAACUACUCAAAUUUUUAAUAAAAAAAUUUAGUAAUUAGAUAAUUAAUGUUAAAAUAUAUUAAAUUUAUUUCUUUAAUUUACACUCGCUUAACUUCUAAUUAUUUUAUUUGCAUUAUUUCAUUCAAAUAAUUUAAGAAUUUUACUAAAUCUAAUAGCAAUUUAGUUAUAAUUUAAUUUUUUUUAAUUUUUGUUAAUAAAAUAAUAACAACCAAUGACUAAUAUCUAACAGAGCUAUUAAAUUUGGCAUACUAUUUUAUUUAGUUAAAUAAAUUAGCUCAUCAAAAUAAUUGGAAAGUUAAGAAUGUAAAAAUAAAAUAUUUAAAGUUGAAAGGACUUAUUUCAAAAUGCAUUAUAAUUAAAAGGUUCUUAAUAUAUUUUCACCUAUAAAGCACAUAAGAAGAGAGAGAGAGCUCUAUAUUAGCACUAAAAACUUUUUACAAAAUAGGCCGAUAUAUUUUAAAAUUAACUGAAAAUAUAUAAACUACCAAAGAAUUAUAAAGUAAAUAUUGAAAAGUUGAAGAGGGCCAUGGCUCCUUUGGGUCUAUAUAUGGGUUGUCCCUGUGCGUAAGGCUUGGAGUCUUGGCCCACAAGCCAACAAUUCUUUUCAAAAAAAUUUCACUUUGGUCCCCUAAAUUUAUAAUAUUUUAAUUUUUUUAAUAACUUACUAGUGGAUUGUUCUAUAAUUUUAAAAAUGUGGGGG